rnacentral:sRNA from 1 species
CUGCCCUGGAGUUGGGUCUGGAUCACAUCUCCCUGAUCCUUUCCAACAGAGGCUUAAGACGAAGCAAAAAGAACUGGAGGCCAAGAUGUUGGCCCAGAAGGCUGAGGAAAAGGAGAACCAUUGUCCCACAAUGCUCCGGCCCCUUUCACAUCGCACAGUCACAGGGGCAAAGCCCCUGAAAAAGGCUGUGGUGAUGCCCCUACAGCUAAUUCAGGAGCAGGCAGCAUCCCCAAAUGCCGAGAUCCACAUCCUGAAGAAUAAAGGCCGGAAGAGAAAGGUGAAAGUAGCUGGGGGCUUAGGCUACACCUGGAGCCCAGAAGUAAGGGGGAGUAGGCUCUAGGGGGAGGAGCGUUGGCCUUGGGGUUAAACGAACUGGAUGAUGGCCGCCAGCUAGUAACAGACCUCAACUUGCUUACCCCUGGAAUGUGGUGAUGGUUGGUUCCUUGCAGGGCAUUUAGGGUGGAAGGCAGUGAUGUGGAUGUACCUCGCAGAGCGGAUGUUCCACUGUGUAGCCUGGCUUCUACCCUCUACAAGCUUAAGAGGGAAAACUUAGGGAACUAUGACCUAAGCAGUCAAGCAUGAAACCACACAUAUGCACAUACCCAGAAUCGAACACCACUAGAACUACCCAAAAACUGAGAUGGUUGGGGGAGGUAUGAUUUAUUCAUAUUACUUUCUCCCAUGUACUUUUUGAAAGACAGCUUAUUCUUUCCCUUUUAGAGAUGAGGGACCAGAUUUAAGAGCUCAUUUUGUGCUUUACAUUCAUUAACUCACUUGAUCUCCACAGCAACUCCAUGAGAAGGGUGCUAAUAUUACCACUGGGUACUGAGUAGUACCUCUCUUUCACUAGUUGCAUAAUGAGAAUUACCCCAGAGAGUGACCUGAGGGCGGGAUUUUGGACACACUUGACAAGAGAGGAAGAGGCUGGAGCGCAGGAGGUAGCUGGUGCUGGGCUCCUAGUUUUGGCAGAGGAGCCCAAAGCACUUGGCUGCCCUGCGUGUCACUCAUCUCCCUUUGCCUCCCAGCUGGAGUCCCUGGAUGCCCUAGAGCCUGAGGAGAAGGCUGAGGACUGCUGGGAGCUACAGAUCAGCCCGGAGCUACUGGCUCAUGGGCGCCAAAAAAUACUGGAUCUGCUGAACGAAGGCUCAGCCCGAGAUCUCCGCAGUCUUCAGCGCAUUGGCCCGAAGAAGGCCCAGCUAAUCGUGGGCUGGCGGGAGCUCCACGGCCCCUUCAGCCAGGUAGCAGCCCACUGGACUGGGGGAGGGCGGGGGCAGGGGAGACCGGGUACCCCCGAGACUCUGUCCCCUAUCGAUCCUGUCCCGCCAGGUGGAGGACCUGGAACGCGUGGAGGGCAUAACGGGAAAACAGAUGGAGUCCUUCCUGAAGGUGAAGUCACGGCCCUGCCCCUCCUCUGCCUGUCCUGCGCCCCGCACCCCUCUCUAACGUCGCUGUCUCCCUCCCUCCUGUGUUGCAGGCAAACAUCCUGGGUCUCGCCGCCGGCCAGCGCUGUGGCGCCUCCUGACCGUCGUCUCCUCACUCCGCCUUUUCAAAGUUUUGUAUAACCCCGU